GACGAACGCUGGCGGCGUGCUUAACACAUGCAAGUCGAACGGAAAGGCCCUGCUUGCCGGGUACUCGAGUGGCGAACGGGUGAGUAACACGUGGGUGAUCUGCCCUGCACUUCGGGAUAAGCCUGGGAAACUGGGUCUAAUACCGGAUAGGAGCCAUUUUUAGUGUGAUGGUUGGAAAGUUUUUUCGGUGUAGGAUGAGCUCGCGGCCUAUCAGCUUGUUGGUGGGGUAAUGGCCUACCAAGGCGGCGACGGGUAGCCGGCCUGAGAGGGUGGACGGCCACAUCGGGACUGAGAUACGGCCCAGACUCCUACGGGAGGCAGCAGUGGGGAAUAUUGCACAAUGGGCGCAAGCCUGAUGCAGCGACGCCGCGUGGGGGAUGACGGCCUUCGGGUUGGAAACUCCUUUCGCUAGGGACGAAGCUUUUUGUGACGGUACCUAGAGAAGAAGCACCGGCUAACUACGUG
rnacentral:rRNA from 1 species